AACUUCCGGUUCAGAAAAUGGACUCGUCAAACAGAUAGAGAGACACCGAAUCUUUUUUUCAUUUGAAAGCGGUGUAUUUUACUAUAACUCAAGUUUUAAUACACGCGAGUGGAGUACUAGAUUCUAAUACGGAAACUUUUACUCUCAAACAUAAUCUGUUGUUUAAGAUGUCGUUAUCUUGCGGUAUUUUGGUGUAAAAGUAAAGAAUAUGGCGGAUCAACAUUCACAGUACAAGAGCAGUCCAAAUGGACCGCCGCCAAAAUGUUAUGCGUUGAUGUGAUUCCACACAGGAAGGGACAGUUUUAGGGUUUAUUGUGACUUAUUUAUUCACUUCCUGUGUCAAAGGUCAAGUACUAUACCGCUACCAAGUAGUAUAACUGUGAUGAUAUAAACAGAUGUAUUUUAUGACGAUGUGACAUUGAACCUGAUGUACAUGGUGUAGUCAUGUAUUCCCAAGCUUACAAAGCAUAUGAUGGCAUGGUGUGUAAUGUUUUGUUGAUGCAAUUGUCUUUCACCUGGUUUAUGUUGAAUGAGCGAGUUGGUCCUAACUGUGCAGGGCAAUUUCUGAAGCCAUAUGUAUGUUUCAGCUCUUAAUUUAUAGGGGUAAAGUUAAAGACACAUCGAAGAAAACCUAAAUGUCUAGUCUUUUAGAAAUUAAGAGUUCUAUAUAUCUUUUCUUUAUCCUGUUUAAAAUGGAUAAAGUAACUGUUUUGAUGCAUGUUAUAAAAAUGCUCAUACAAUAUUUCUUCAAAAAUGGUGUACAUCUUUUGAUUUAGAAACUAUUGACAACUAUGUUCCGAGUGACAAAAAAUUAUCUCUUAUCAUUAAUUAUAUUUAUCUUACAAUGUUUUUAAAUGUGCAAUUACAUGUCAAAGUUGCUGUGCGCUCAUACUAUCCUUUUAAAUUUUAUUUAUUCGCUGUAACAGUACUUCAUUGACUUUUAUGUGACAUUGAUAGAAGAUUGGAUUGUGAGCUAUGUAGUUAGCAGUAUGUUGUACGAAGGUCAAUACACAGUGGGGGUCUCGGCGAUUACGAGGCUAUGAGAGGUGUAUCAUUGGUGCUUAUUCAUGUGUAUUGUGUAGCCCUCAUUGUGGAUAGCCCAUUCUGCUUUUAUGACUGGUGAAGAUCUCUUUAAAUUUGUACAUACAAAUCUAAGUACACUCUGAGACAGGAUGCAAUCUGUUUCAUUGUCAAUUUUUUUUAGGAAAGAAUAAAUCUAUAAUAUAAAAGUCAAAAAU
rnacentral:misc_RNA from 1 species